rnacentral:lncRNA from 1 species
GAAACUUUGGUGAAUAUAUUAAUGUAACAUCCCUUUUGAUUUGUAUAUAUAUUUCUAGUUGAUCAUAUAAAUUCAUUUAAAGCAUAACAGACAAGUUAAAAGAGCAACGGGCGUAUCAUGCGCUAAAGCGCAGCCCUUUAUUCUAAUCCGAAAUCAAAUAGAUUAUACAUAGCAAUUGUAUACUCCAAUCAGGAUUAAAAGGGGG